UGAGCAAUCUGCCCUUCUCAUCGGAAUAAGCGUUGGAAACGACGUCUAAUGCCGAAUACGACCUCCUUUCGCAUGAUCGGAGGUGGAAAGCUCCGGCGGAGAAGGAUGAGCUCGCGGCCUAUCAGCUAGUUGGUGUGGGUAAUGGCCCACCAAGGCGACGACGGGUAGCCGGCCUGAGAGGGUGACCGGCACACUGGGACUGAGACACGGCCCAGACUCCGUACGGGAGCAG
rnacentral:rRNA from 1 species